AUUGAACGCUGGCGGCAGGCCUAACACAUGCAAGUCGAGCGGGGUCUUCGGACCUAGCGGCGGACGGGUGAGUAAUGCGUAGGAAGCUGCCCGAUAGAGGGGGAUACCAGUUGGAAACGACUGUUAAUACCGCAUAAUGUCUACGGACCAAAGUGUGGGACCUUCGGGCCACAUGCUAUCGGAUGCGCCUACGUGGGAUUAGCUAGUUGGUGAGGUAAUGGCUCACCAAGGCGACGAUCUCUAGCUGGUUUGAGAGGAUGAUCAGCCACACUGGAACUGAGACACGGUCCAGACUCCUACGGGAGGCAGCAGUGGGGAAUAUUGGACAAUGGGCGCAAGCCUGAUCCAGCCAUGCCGCGUGUGUGAAGAAGGCCUUCGGGUUGUAAAGCACUUUCAGCGGGGAGGAAGGGUGGUGUGUUAAUAGCACACCAUUUUGACGUUACUCGCAGAAGAAGCACCGGCUAACUCUGUGCCAGCAGCCGCGGUAAAAC
rnacentral:rRNA from 1 species